GAUGAACGCUGGCGGCGUGCCUAAUACAUGCAAGUCGAGCGAACGGACGAGAAGCUUGCUUCUCUGAUGUUAGCGGCGGACGGGUGAGUGACACGUGGAUAACCUACCUAUAAGACUGGGAUAACUUCGGGAAACCGGAGCUAAUACCGGAUAAUAUUUUGAACCGCAUGGUUCAAAAGUGAAAGACGGUCUUGCUGUCACUUAUAGAUGGAUCCGCGCUGCAUUAGCUAGUUGGUAAGGUAACGGCUUACCAAGGCAACGAUGCAUAGCCGACCUGAGAGGGUGAUCGGCCACACUGGAACUGAGACACGGUCCAGACUCCUACGGGAGGCAGCAGUAGGGAAUCUUCCGCAAUGGGCGAAAGCCUGACGGAGCAACGCCGCGUAAGUGAUGAAGGUCUUCGGAUCGUAAAACUCUGUUAUUAGGGAAGAACAUAUGUGUAAGUAACUGUGCACAUCUUGACGGUACCUAAUCAGAAAGCCACGGCUAACUACGUG
rnacentral:rRNA from 1 species